rnacentral:tRNA from 4 species
GGAGAGGUGGCCGAGUGGUCGAAGGCGCACGCCUGGAAAGUGUGUGUACGCCGAAAGCGUACCAAGGGUUCGAAUCCCUUUCUCUCCGCAA